CCUACGGGCGGCAGCAGUGAGGAAUAUUGGUCAAUGGACGAGAGUCUGAACCAGCCAAGUAGCGUGAAGGAUGACUGCCCUAUGGGUUGUAAACUUCUUUUAUAUGGGAAUAAAACGUUCCACGUGUGGGAUUUUGUAUGUACCAUAUGAAUAAGGAUCGGCUAACUCCGUGCCAGCAGCCGCGGUAAUACGGAGGAUCCGAGCGUUAUCCGGAUUUAUUGGGUUUAAAGGGAGCGUAGGUGGAUUGUUAAGUCAGUUGUGAAAGUUUGCGGCUCAACCGUAAAAUUGCAGUUGAAACUGGCAGUCUUGAGUACAGUAGAGGUGGGCGGAAUUCGUGGUGUAGCGGUGAAAUGCUUAGAUAUCACGAAGAACUCCGAUUGCGAAGGCAGUUCACUGGACUGCAACUGACUCUGAGGCUCGAAAGUGUGGGUAUCAAACAGGAUUAGAUACCCUAGUAGUC
rnacentral:rRNA from 1 species